rnacentral:rRNA from 1 species
GAGUUUGUUGGCUCAGAUUGAACGCUGGCGGCAGGCCUAACACAUGCAAGUCGAGCGGAUGACGGGAGCUUGCUCCUUGAUUCAGCGGGCGGACGGGUGAGUAAUGCCUGGGAAUCUGCCUGGUAGUGGGGGACAACGUUUCGAAAGGAACGCUAAUACCGCAUACGUCCUACGGGAGAAAGCAGGGGACCUUCGGGCCUUGCGCUAUCAGAUGAGCCUAGGUCGGAUUAGCUAGUUGGUGGGGUAAUGGCUCACCAAGGCGACGAUCCGUAACUGGUCUGAGAGGAUGAUCAGUCACACUGGAACUGAGACACGGUCCAGACUCCUACGGGAGGCAGCAGUGGGGAAUAUUGGACAAUGGCGAAAGCCUGAUCCA